rnacentral:lncRNA from 1 species
GAUGAUAGACCGCUUGAGUGACUUGAUGUUUAGAAUUGCUAAUGAUAUGAAAGGUCUAGGUAAGCAUGCUUCUAUGGUUCACACCCAACUAGACCAAGUUGCUAAGUCACAAAAUGAUUUGCUUGCUCAAAUAAAUAAUAAUAUGAUUGAUCAUGUUGUCAGAGUAACGACUAGAGGACAUAGGAUGACUCAGGAACCUCUUUAUCAUGAUGGUCACCCUAAAAGAAUUGAACAAGAUUCGCAGAGAAUUAAU